CUUAGCUCAGUUGGAUAGAGCAACGGCCUUCUAAGCCGUAGGUCGUAGGUUCGAAUCCUACA
rnacentral:tRNA from 7 species